AAACGAUUUCAGCCUGCAAUUGGGGUGGAACAGGAGCAAGAUAACAAUGAGCGAGAGUCACAAUGUCAUUUACAGCAUCAAAGCUUUGCAUUACCAAAUGCAAAUCUUUCAAAUCCUGUAAAAACUGGUCUUCAGGACAGAUUGGGAAAUCCUGUCCCUCUGGAAGGUAUUUAUAUCAAGGCGAGGAUAAUAGGCUUUGUAGCACAGGUAGUAAUGUUUCAGAGCUACACCAAUCAAAACAGUAAACCAAUUGAAUCUAAAUAUGGCUUUCCUUAGGAUGAUAAAGCUGCUGUUUGUGGAUUUGAAGCUUUUAUCAAUGGAAAACACGUUAUUGGAGAGGUUAAAGAACAGAAGCAAGCACAUAGGGAAUAUUGGAAGGCUAUCAGUCAGGGUGAUGGAGCUUAUUUAAUGGACCAGGAUGCACCAGAUAUUUUUGUAAUAAGUGUUGGAAACUUACCUCCAAAUUCUACAGUUGUGAUCCAAAUCACCUAUAUCACUGAACUGAGUUUUGAGCAUGGUUGUAUCACCUUUCAUAUGCCUGCUUCUGUGUCACCAUGGCAACAGGACAAAGCAUUAAAUGAAAACACGCAGG